rnacentral:rRNA from 1 species
GUGUCAGCCGCCGCGGUAAUACGAAGGGAGCGAGCGUUGUUCGGAAUCACUGGGCUUAAAGCGUGCGUAGGCGGAUUAGUAAGUAAGAAGUGAAAUCCCAGGGCUUAACCCUGGAACUGCUUUUUAGACUGCUUGUCUGGAAUUCGGUAGAGGUUGGUGGAACUCCUAGUGUAGAGGUGAAAUUCGCAGAUAUUAGGAAGAACACCGGUGGCGAAGGCGACCAACUGGACCGAUAUUGACGCUGAGGCACGAAAGCGUGGGUAGCAAACAGGAUUAGAUACCCUGGUAGUCCACGCCGUAAACUAUGAACGCUAGCCGUUGGCAGGCUUGCCUGUCAGUGGCGCAGCUAACGCAUUAAGCGUUCCGCCUGGGGAGUACGGCCGCAAGGUUGAAACUCAAAGGAAUUGACGG